AAAAUGGCGCCGACGAUGAAGAAGAUGAUGAUCGGGCAAAGUUUUAAUAAUAACAUUUACUUUUAACUUAAAGCAUUAAAAAUAUUUUCACACGAUAAGGUGACCAUCUCAAUGCAGUUGAUAUACCAUAACAGCAACCUGCACAUCAUUUUAGUAGGGGUAUUUUGUGGAAUCCUGUAAGGUUCGCCUGGUGUAGGAGGAAAGAGAUGUAAUAUUGUUUUUAUGAUUGACAUUAAAAAAUCAAAAUGUAAAUGAAUAUUGUUCUAAAUGUUUCCUUUGAUAUUAAAUGUGUUAUUUUUUUAAA